GCUAAGAUGAAAUAAACUUAGCAGUGCAUGUACCCUUGUUUUGACAUAAAAAUAAUAGAAUAAAUCUUUUCUUUGCGCUCCAGCUUUGCAUUGUGGCUGUCUUGGUGUUACCCACAUGAAUUUGGUUCACACAAGGCCUGGAAGAGGUCAGGAUUCCAUUAUAAAGCAGAGACCACAGUCAGCUGCAUUGGCAUCUGCAAAGGCAGAAGAUACCAAGAUAGGUGCAGUCCCAAGACUCAGUUUUAGCUGAAACAUUUUCUUCUUCCUGAAUGGAAUUCACAGAAGGUUAUCCUGCUCCUGUCUGAAUAUAGUGUUUAACUAAUAUUCACAUGGAGUGAAAAUCAUGCUCUACUUGAAAAGAGGAACAACAUUGAAGACUGAAUUGAGUUCAAGUAAAAGCAAAAUAUCUGCAGGGAGGCUGAAAUGACUCUCAUGCACAGAACCUGAU
rnacentral:lncRNA from 1 species